UUGGAGGGCAAGUCUGGUGCCAGCAGCCGCGGUAAUUCCAGCUCCAAUAGCGUAUAUUAAAGUUGUUGCAGUUAAAAAGCUCGUAGUUGAAUUUCGGGAUCAAAUUGUCGGUCGUGCCUCGGUACGCACUGGUAUUAUUGGUUCCUACCUUCUGAAGAACCGCGAUGUCAUUAAUUUGGUGUCGUGGGGAAUCAGGACUGUUACUUUGAAAAAAUUAGAGUGUUUAAAGCAGGCUUACGCUUGAAUACAUUAGCAUGGAAUAAUGAAAUAGGACGUUUGAUCCUAUUUUGUUGGUUUCUAGGAUUGACGUAAUGAUUAAUAGGGAUAGUUGGGAGCAUUAGUAUUCAAUUGUCAGAGGUGAAAUUCUUGGAUUUAUUGAAGACUAACUACUGCGAAAGCAUUUGCCAAGGAUGUUUUCAUUAAUCAAGAACGAAAGUUAGGGGAUCGAAGACGAUCAGAUACCGUCGUAGUCUUAACCAUAAACUAUGCCGACUAGGGAUCGGAUGAUGUUAAUUUUUUAAUGACUCAUUCGGCGCCUUACGGGAAACCAAAGUGUUUGGGUUC
rnacentral:rRNA from 1 species